UUUCCUUUGGACCUUCCGGCGGCGUCGGCCCUAUUUCCCGUGCUGCACUGCGGGCUUCUCUCUUUCUCUUCCGGUCCCAGGCGCUGCGGGAGCCGCGGGUUACCGUGAGUGUUGGCCUUACGGCAUCCGAUGCCAUCCGUGACUGCAGGGCGGCGGCGGGUCGCGGGACAGGCGACGCGGGUGGCAGGAAGGACAGGGCGGGCAGCUGCUUGGCUGUGGGGCGUAGAGAUCGCCGGGCGGGGGUGGUGCCCGGUCGCCCUUAAGGAACGGAUGGCGGGGAAAGCCGCCCCGGGGCCGGCAAGCUCAGUGUCAGGACGGACCUCAUAGCUCGCGUUGGAGAGGUGCAGACAUGGCCAAGUCCAAGAACCACACCACACACAACCAGUCCCGCAAAUGGCACAGAAAUGGCAUCAAGAAACCCCGGUCGCAAAGAUAUGAAUCUCUUAAGGGGGUUGACCCCAAGUUCCUGAGGAACAUGCGCUUUGCCAAGAAG